UACGUAGGGGGCAAGCGUUGUCCGGAUUUAUUGGGCGUAAAGAGCGUGUAGGCGGCUUCACAGGUCCGCUGUGAAAACUCGAGGCUCAACCUCGAGCUGUCGGUGGAAACCGUGUGGCUAGAGUCCGGAAGAGGAGAGUGGAAUUCCCGGUGUAGCGGUGAAAUGCGCAGAUAUCGGGAAGAACACCCGUGGCGAAGGCGGCUCUCUGGGACGGUACUGGACGCUGAGACGCGAAAGCGUGGGGAGCGAACAGG
rnacentral:rRNA from 1 species